CACGUAGGAGGCGAGCGGUAUCCGGAUUCACUGGGCGUAAAGCGCGUUCCGGCGGUUUGGUAAGGUGGGCGUGAAAGCGCCUGGCUCAACUGGGAGAGGUGGUCCAAUACUACCAGACUAGAGUACGGUAGAGGAAAAUGGAAUUCCCGGUGUAGUGGUGAAAUGCGUAGAAAUCGGGAGGAACACCAGUGGCGAAGGCGACUUUCUGGUCUGUAAAUGUCGCUGAGGCGCGAAAGCGCGGGGAGCAAAUAGG
rnacentral:rRNA from 1 species